rnacentral:rRNA from 1 species
GACAGAGGUGCCGAGCGUUAGGCGGAAUCACUGGGCUUAAAGCGUGUGUAGGCGGACCGUUAAGUACCUUGUGAAAUCCCCCCGGCUCAACCGGGGAACGGCUGGGUAUACUGGCGGUCUUGAGCCAUCCAGGGGCAGUCGGAACAGACGGUGGAGCGGUGAAAUGCGUAGAUAUCGUCUGGAACGCCGAAGGUGAAAACAGACUGCUGGGGAUGAGCUGACGCUGAGACACGAAAGCCAGGGGAGCGAACGGG